rnacentral:rRNA from 1 species
AGCAGCCGCGGUAAUUCCAGCUCCAAUAGCGUAUAUUAAAGUUGUUGCAGUUAAAAAGCUCGUAGUUGAAUUUCGGGAUCAAUUUAUCGGUCGUGCCAAUGGUAUGAACUGGUACAAUUGGUUUCUCCCUUCUGACGAAGCAUGAUGUCAUUAAUUUGGUGUCGUGGGGAAUCAGGACUGUUACUUUGAAAAAAUUAGGGUGUUUAAAGCAAGCAUUAGCUUGAAUACAUUAGCAUGGAAUAAUGAAAUAGGACGUUUGAUCCUAUUUCGUUGGUUUCUAGGAUCGACGUAAUGAUUAAUAGGGAUAGUUGGGGGCAUUAGUAUUCAAUUGUCAGAGGUGAAAUUCUUGGAUUUAUUGAAGACUAACUACUGCGAAAGCAUUUGCCAAGGAUGUUUUCAUUAAUCAAGAACGAAAGUUAGGGGAUCGAAGACGAUCAGAUACCGUCGUAGUCUUAACCAUAAACUAUGCCGACUAGGGAUCGGAUGAUGCUAAUUUUUUAAUGACUCA